GCGUCAUGUUGCAGACGGUUUUGGAAUCAGGUGAACGCGGCCGGGUCGCAGGAAGGGAACGGAGCCGAUUGGUGGGGAGGAGAGGAAGCGGAGUCUUCAGAAACACCUUGUGAAGGCCGCAAGCCCCGAAUAAGAACCUAAAACUCCCGUCUUUGUAGCUUUGGUCUUUUUCCCGGAAACCGUCCCAGGUUUACAUGCUGUAAACUCAAAAUAUUCUAUUUCUUCUGAAUUAAUAUCGUCGACUGAUGGUUAUGAUAUUUGAGAUCUCCUAGAAGAUUUGAAAGCUGCUAGAAUUUCAUCUGACUCCAAUGUUUCUGAUAUCUUUCCAGCUGCCAUCUCCAGCAGGAGAUUUUAAAUGUGAAAACAGUGAAAUCGUUUCAGAACAAUGUUUUGAGCACCAAAUUCGACACAUAGCUACAAACAUCAAAUGUGCAUCACUUGAUUAUUGAUGUUAUAUCUUGGCCCUCUGGAACUGAGCUUUCCUCACAAAGGGGGCGAUCCGAUGGCAGAGGUAUUACCCAGCAUUCGCCGCGGGACAGACGGUGCCCUAUCCUCACUGCAGGCACUUUUGCACAGGCGCUGUGCGAGUGCUGGAGUUCGACGGAAACCCCAGGAGGUCGUGUCGCAUUCGCAACGGGUGAAAGAAACAGCCGAGUGCAGGAGAGGAAUGGAGCGGUCUGCCAAUGGGUUGAUGGUUGAAGAUACUUCAUAAACACCUGGCGCAGACCUUUAAGUCCUGGUAAGAAACUGCUGUUCCCGUAUUUGCACCAAGAAGGCUGGCAGUUGUUCUCUCGGCAUCAGGCCUGUCUUUCGGGCCGCCAUCUUUCUCGGGGGGGCAAUGUGCAGCAGGGCGCAUGCGCAGUCAUCGCUGUCGGCUGGGGAGAAUGUUCCUUUUACAGGGGAUCAGAAGGGGAGGAUUUACACACAGCAAACGCGAAGCAUUGCAUCAAAGUUCAGUCAAUUCAACUGGACCUGAAUAUCAUCGACCUUUGAAUAUGCAAAGAAACAAGUUUAUCUGUUCUGUCUGUGGGAAACGAUUUCAUGUGAAAAGAUUUUCACAUCCGGCUUCACCCAAGAGAAUGAGGAUGAAGGUAUUGAACUUGGGGAGAGAGACUGUGAGGUUCUUGAGCAAAUAGAUAUAGGAAGUGACAAGGUAUUGGAGAUGUUGGCAGGCUUGUAAGUGGACAAAUCUGUUUGUGGGAAAAGAUUUCAAACAUCAGUGUGACUGGAAAAGCACCGAGACAGACACACACCUGUGUGAGAGUGUUCCAGUGAACUGACUGUGGGAAGAUCUUUAAGUAGUCACACAGUCUGAAAAAAAAUUACCCCAUUCACAGUGGGGAGAAACCGAACACGUGUGUGUGGACUGAUCUUCAACUGAUCGUCCAACGUGGAGAAACACAAGGACUCUGGCACCAUGGAGAAACUAUGGGAAUGUGGGGACUGUGGGAAGGGAUUGAAUUACCCAAACCUGGAAACUCAUUGCGCAGUCACACUGAGGAGAGACCAUUCAUCUGCACUGUGUGUGGGAAGAACUUCACUCAGUCAUCCCACCUCACUGACCACCAACGUGUACACAGUGAUCAAAGACCUUUUAAAUGUUCUGACUGUGAGAAGAGCUUUAAAAACAAGAAGAAUCUGGUGGCACACCAGCUUGUUCACACUGGGGAGAGGCUGUUCCUCUGCUCUGAGUGCGGAAAGAGAUUCAUUCAGUCAUCACACUUUCUGACACACCAGCAAGUUCACACUGGAGAGAGGCUGUUCACCUGCUACACAUGUGGGAAGGGAUUCACUCAGACACAGUCAUCCCACCUUCUGAGAUAUGAGUGAAUUCACACUGGGGAGAGACCGUUCACCUGCUCCUAGUGUGGAAAGGGAUUUUCCCAGCCAUCCGACCUUCUGGUACACAAGCAAAUUCACACUGGGGAGAGGCCGUUCACCUGCUCUGAAUGUGAGAGGGGAUUCAUUCAGCUAUCUGACCUUGUGAGACACCAGGAAAUUCACAAGUAACUGCAGGAGUUGGAGUCUUAUUGCUGCUGUUACUCACAUCCAGGACUGAACAUGUGCGUUAUACUGACGUUUAAGAAAUGUGUGUUCCAUGGUUCAAAGCUUAGGAGGCUCCUUUACGACUGGGUUUAGAGUCAGGAAGAACAAUGGUGAACGCUAGAAGUGUGCUGUCAAAUCAGGGAUUGGUGUAAAACUGUGAUUUGCUCCUGAAAGUGAAAUGGCAGGUUUAAGUUUCCAGCCUGAAAAUUUGGUAAUUAUUGAAAAUGUUGGCGUGACAUUCCUGAGUUUACCAAUGAAGGGUAAUAACAACAACAUGUUGCAUUUAUAUAGAACCUUUAAUAAUGUCCCAAGAUGCUUUAGAAUUUAUUGCCCAUCCCUGAUUGCCCUUGAACAUAGUAGCUUGCAUUUCAGAGGACAGUUAAGAGUCAACCACAUUGCUGUGGGUCUGAAAUCACGAGUAGGUCAGACCAGGUAAGAAGGUAGAUCACCUUCCCUAAAGGGCAACAAUCGAUGAUAAAUUCAUGGUCACUAGCUUUUCAAUUCCAGAUUUUUUCCAUCAUCUGCCAUGGUGGCUUUUGAACCCGGGACCCCAGAUCAUUUGCUUGGGCCUCUGAAUUACUAGUCCAGUGAAUUAACCACCACGCCACCAUCUCCGCAUGAUCGAGUGAUCAAAAACUUGGUCAAAGAGAUAGAUUUUAAGGAGGCGAGAGGUUUAGGGAGAGAAAUCCAGAGCUCUGGGCCUCGGCAGCUGAAAGCACAGCCACCAAUGGUGGAGUGAAGUAGUUGGGAGUGUGGGGAAUGGGUCAGAAUUGGAGGGACGCAGGGAGCUUGAAGGAUCGUAGGGCUGGAGGAGGUUCCAGAGACUGUCUGUCAUGGAGAGAGUGGCUGCCUCCAUGGAGCUUCAAGCACGGCUCUGAAAUGGGUCCAUGCAGGUCAUGACCACAGCUGUACAGGAGAUGUCGGCUGCCUUAAACAGGAUGACAGACACUGUAUCUGUGACCUUACAACACGUCACUGACCUCCACCAAACUGGUCUGCAGCAGAGUGGGAGGAAUGAUGUGACUCUGCUCCAGGAGAGGGACGAUGGACAAAAGAGACACGGAAGUGGGAACUCUGAUCAAAGUGUUCCCAGUUCUCACUCAUUACUCCCGAACCCCCAGGCAGUACCCAACAUGCUGCCCCCAUCUCCUGACAUGCUGACCCCUGAGGGGCUCUGACACCCAGAAGACGGAGACCACAAGCCUCUCGGCAGUGAGAGCAGGGAUGUGAGCAGCCUGUCUCUCCCUCUGCUAAAACCACACAGGAUGCAUCAUGUAGAAGCAAUAGGAAGGGUCUGGGCUAGAAAUUGUAAUUUAGCAAGGGUGCACAGGGGUGUUUGAUAAAAUAUUAAUUUCCUUUUAAAAUAAUGACACAGAAAAUGUAUUGAUUGGAACCACUUCCAGCUCUUGUCCACUCUGACAUCCUGAGGGCCAGCUCACCCUCUCACUGGGUUCGUGCUGAAUGUCAGUCCGGGCUGGGAGCCAUUGGGUGGAUGUGCAAUGGGUGGAUGAGUGGGUGAAGGAAUGUUCAGUGAACAGGGAAGGGGAGGGGGGUGUUGGUGCUGCUGUUGGGAAGUGUUCAUUCUGAAGGAGUCCCACCUGAAACAGUGACCAUUCAUUUAUCACUUUGAAAUGAUUGAGCUGCUGUGUAAUUCCCCAAUUUUGUUCUUUUAGUUUUCCAGGAUUUAUAUAUAUGUUUUCUUUUUAUUAAAAUGUUGCUGUUGUAACACUGAAAUCCAGAGGAUUUAAAAUCUGUUAAAGUCAAUCCCCAACAAAGGAGGACUCAACUGGUCCUAACUUCUUAUGAUAUCAAUAAACAAAGAUCUUACAAGCUGUUCAUAUGGGGAAUUGCUUUUCUUUGAGACUAGGGACGAUCAAACGAUGUCACAAAGUUCAGAUUUGGGCCUUGAGCCUGGGCUAUAAGGCCCACAUACAUGGAGCACCAUUACCCGAUUUCCCUCAUCCCCGAUUUUAAUCUCUCCACCAUAGAUGGCCGUGCCUUCAGCUGCCUGGACCCUGAACUCUGGAAUUUCCUCCCUAAACCUCUCUUUCUACUUCACUUUCCUCCUUUAAGACACUUCUUAUAACCGACAUCUUUGACCAAGCUUUGGUCAUCUGACUUAAUAUGUCCUUAUGCUCCUGUGAAACACCUUGGGAUGUUUAAUUAUGUUAAAAGCUCAAUAUAAAUAUAAGUCGUUGUUGUAUCUCAGUCAGACCUGAUCACUUACCGAGUGAGUGAGUCUGUAUCAAUGUAACUCAGAUAGAUACAGUUUGUGUCAUAGUUCAGUGAGAUCUGAUCACUUACUGAGUGAGUCUGUAUAAAUGUAACUCAGAUAGACACAGCUUGUUGGAACAGACCUGGGAAGAAGGACGUUCUGACUGAACUAACCACUGGACACAAUUGGAAAAGAUGAUUCUUUCCAAACUUUGAAAAUUACUAAUAAAGUCAUUAAAGAUGAUUUCUUGUUGUGAGCUGCAUUAUCUGGUAGAAUUAGAGUGAAGGAGUGGGAUUGACCCACAGCCUGAGUCAGGAGUGAGCAGCCCCUCCCAGCUGGACAACAGUGGAGAGGUGAUGGAGCAGAAUGAUGUGGUCGACCUUGUCAAAGG